UGGACUUUAAGAAGGCAGUUCCAACGGACCUAGACCAGCUAAGCAGGCCUGCUGAGUGGUGCCCGGAGGCAGCUGGAAAGGCACUAAGUAAAUCAACGAACUCCAUGGUUUUCCCGAAGACCUCUUGAUAUCAAAAUUUCUUCCCUUACAUGCGUCUCCUCUGAUCCUGUGGAGAUGAAAAUUGACAUCCACAGUCAUAUUCUACCAAAAGAAUGGCCAGAUCUAAAGAAGAGAUACGGGUACGGAGGCUGGGUGCAGCUCCAACACCACAGAGAGGGAGAAGCAAAGAUGCUAAAGGAUGGAAAGGUCUUUAGAGUGGUCCAAGAGAACUGCUGGAAUCCAGAAGUCCGUCUUAGAGAAAUGGACCAAACAGGAGUGACCGUGCAAGCCCUGUCCACGGUUCCUGUCAUGUUUAGCUACUGGGCCAAACCUCAGGACACUUUAGACCUGUGCCAGCUUCUAAACAAUGACCUAGCUGCCACCACUGCAAGCCACCCCAGGAGGUUUGUGGGUCUGGGGACAUUGCCCAUGCAGGCCCCUGAGUUGGCAGUCAAGGAGAUGGAGCGCUGUGUGAAGGAACUGGGCUUUCCCGGGGUUCAGAUCGGUUCCCAUAUCAACGAGUGGGACCUGAACGCACAGGAACUCUACCCAGUCUACGCAGAGGCAGAAAAGCUGAACUGUUCCCUAUUUGUGCACCCCUGGGAUAUGCAGAUGGAUGGACGGAUGGCCAAAUACUGGUUCCCUUGGCUCAUAGGAAUGCCAACAGAAACCACCACAGCCAUUUGCUCCAUGAUCAUGGGUGGAGUGUUUGAGAAGUUUCCUAAACUCAAAGUAUGUUUUGCACAUGGAGGUGGUUCCUUCCCCUUCACAGUAGGAAGAAUCUCUCAUGGAUUCAACAUGCGUCCAGAUCUGUGUGCCCAGGACAAUCCAACCAACCCAAAGAAAUACCUUGGUUCCUUUUACACGGACUCCUUGGUUCAUGACCCUGUGGCCCUCAAGCUAUUAACAGAUGUCAUCGGAAAGGGUCACCUCUGUACCCAUUCAACGUGACACAUCAUAAUGAGAUAAGCAGGAAAGAGCCACUAGUUUUGAAGUCAAAUUGACCUGGCUUAAAAUCCUGCCUCUAUCUCUUACUGAUUAUGUAAAUUCUGAAUCAAACUGUCCUCAUAUACUAAAUGAAGAAAACUGGAACAUCAAAGAGGGAAGAAUGGCACUGGCCAGGGAGGCAGGUCCUCGUAAGAGUGGAACCAUUUUGAUGCCUAUAAGCUUCCUGAGAACAAGAGUAUAACUUACUACCUUCUCAAGAAGGUGUGCCUCAGUUUCCUCAAUUGUGAAAUGGAGAUGAUAACCUGACAGAGUUGAUGUGAGAAGUUAAUAUAACAUAUGCCAAAGGACUGUACAGAUGUCAGUAAUUUGUAUCACUGAUUCCAGUGCUUUACACACAGUAGGUGUUAAGUUAAUGUUUGCCUAAUUGAAUUGUGUAAUGAUCUUGUGGAUAUAAGACUAAUCUUACGUUGCAUUGAUUGAAUUAAAUCAGGCUCCUUCUCUAGGAAAUUAUAUCUCAGGGAACAAACUGAAUCCUUGAUAUACUAGAAUUUUAUAUUAAAAUAGAGGUAUGUUGUAUUUACUGCAAAUGCUACAAAUGAAAUAUGCUAAUGAGGAGAUAGUUAAUUGUUCCUUUUACAGAAGACAAAUGAAUUCUCUUCCACUAUUUGAAUUCCCUUAGUAAGUUACGUCUUUCAGUGUUUGCAGCAUUCCCUGAAAAUGCGGGAAAGUUAAUGCAUCUCAACAGGUGAGCAGCUUCUUUCUUUUCCCUGACAGGAAUAUUAAUCGCUAUUAUUAUCAGCUCAGUAAGUCUUUGACUUCCUAGACAGUGUGUGCUGCUGGCUUUGGGGAGGAAAAUGUAUGUUGGGGGCAGAAUGUUAGUGCUGAGAAAUCAAUCAGGAUUAUCCACUGCUUUAUCAUCUAAUAAAGAAACCCAAUGCCUGCCUAAUAAAGAAAAUCAGGGAAGGUAUAAUUUCAGGAUCUCAGAAAAGGCAGCCAUGGUACCUAAAAUGUCUACCAGUAGAAUUAUUCCUUCAGGUUUAACAGAGUCUUUAGAAAGGUCCUACUAAAACGUAGAUGUUGUCAAAUACUACAUUCACACAGAUAUCCUUAAAAAUUGGUUCAUGACUAUGGUCAAUUCCAAGGGAAAAGAAUCCUGGAUCACACAGAAGAAGGAAAAAGAAAGAAGGUUCUAGCUUUGAGGAAGCCAGGAAGAGAUACAUUGCUUGGGUGCCUGAGAUGUCACGAGAGUCUUGGGUAUCCCAGGGAGCCUAGAUGAAUGGAAAAUAAGGCAAGGACAUAUCCUAUGCUUCGUCAACCAGGACUUGCAUUGAAUAAUCCAUAAACGAAGUUGAGGAGGCAAUUCCAUUUACAUCAGCAUCAAGGGAAUAAAAUACUGGAGUCAAUUCAAUUAAAGAAGUGUAAGACUUGGACACUAAACAACAAAACAUUGUUGAAGAAAAUUAAAGAAGACUUAAGUGAAAAGAUAUUCUAUGUUCUUUGGUUGGAAAACUUAAUAUUGCUAAACGGCAAUACUCCUCACACUGAUCUACAGAUUCAAUGCAAUCUCUAUUAAAAAUCCACAGGUCUUUUUUUUCUUGGCAGGAACUGACAAGUUGAUCCUUAAAUUCAUAUGGAAAUGCAAGGGACUCAGAAUAGCCAAAACAAUUUUGAAAAAGAAGAACCAAGUUGGAAGACUCACACUCUCAAUUUCAAAACUUUCUACAAAGAUAUAUACAGUAAUCAAAACUGUGUGGAAGUGGCUUAAGGACAAACAUGAAGAUAACUUAUUUUGAACAAAGGUGCCAGUACAAUUCAAUGAAGAAAGAAUAGACUUUCCAGCAUGAUGUAGUGGGACAACUGGAUAUUCACACUGAAAUAUCAAUAAUAAUUAAUUUGGACCUCUGUUUUACACCAUACAUGAAAAAUAACUGAAAAUGGACCAAAGACCUAAAAUGGAAGAGUUAAAACUACAAACUCUUAGAAGAAAACAUAGCUGUAAAUUUUCGUGCCCUUUUAGGCAAUAAUUCCUUAAAUAUGAUACCAAGAGCACAAGCAACCAAAGAAAAUAGAUUAAAUUCAUCACAAUUUUAAAAUUUGUGCUUCAAAAGAUACAACCAGUAAAGCGAAAAGACAACCCACAGAAUAAAGAAAAUAUUUGUAAAUCAUACA